CGUUCAAAUAUACAAAUUUGUAUUAGACCGCAUUGCGACAAGAAAAAAACUGUAAAGAGGGAGCGGGUUUUAUCUCUGUGGUGUAUUGAUGUGUAAUUUGUAUAGUAGAACUUAACUAAGUCUACUAGUUAGUGUUUCUUUUAUUUGUAAAUAUAAAAAAACAAUAAAAUAUAUCACGUCUAUGUAAAAACAAGAUUCAAUGUUGGAAUUGUUUAUCAAAAAUUUAAAACUUGCUCCUCAGAUGUACGUAAAUUUCGUGUUGGUGAAGCCUACUUUUGAUUUCAUUGUUGGAAAAGUAUAUUCUGAGUCUCACUAGUAAAUGUAGUAUAAUUGUAAAACUUAAGGCAGAUAUACGAAACUGCAUUACUCCUUUACAUGUUUAUCUUUCAAGUUCGUAAAGAAUCUAAUGUGGCUGAUGAGGGGGAGUGCCCGAAACGUGUAGUAAUACUCGUAUCAACUGAAUAAAGAUGAAAAAACGCCAAGUGUUUAAAUUAUAACCAAGUGUAGCACUGUUUUGUUGAGAAUCAUAGAAAAUUAUAAAACAUGGUUUCGGAAAAUUGAGAAUACUGUAUAUAUAGUACUUAAUUUUUACAAUAUAAGUUAACUAGUAAUAAACUAUGGAAAAAGAAUGUGUUUUUAUAACUCCACCCAUGUAAAAG